GCGACCUGGCGCGGCGGCACGCGAUGCGACGGCCGCUCGCGACAGGCACGCGGGGAUGGCGGGAGUCGAGUUGGAGCCUUGGAGGUCGUC
rnacentral:tRNA from 1 species